rnacentral:rRNA from 1 species
CAAUAGCGUAUAUUAAAGUUGUUGCAGUUAAAAAGCUCGUAGUUGGAUUUCUGGUAGGAGUGACCGCGCCAGACUUGAUUGUCUGUGUAUUGUGUUGUCUCCAGCCAUCCUUGUGGAGAACUUUUCUUGCAUUAAUUUGUAGGGAUUGGGACCCGCAUCGUUUACUGUGAAAAAAUUAGAGUGUUUAAAGCAGGCAAUCGCUUGAAUACAUUAGCAUGGAAUAAUAAGAUAGGACUUUGGUACUAUUUUGUUGGUUUGUAUACCAAAUUAAUGAUCAACAGGAACAGUUUGAGGAUAUUCGUAUGAACAUGUCAGAGGUGAAAUUCUUGGAUUUUGAUCAGACGAACUACUGCGAAAGCAUUUAUCAAGGAUGUUUUCAUUAA